UGGAGUCUAGAUCGACUGAGAGAGUCAAAAGGGAACAGAUCAAAAGGACAUCAAAGGGACAUCAAAUCAGUCAUUAACUUCUGUAAACAUCUAAGCUACUGUCCUGCACCUAAAAGAGCUGUAUAAAUACAGCCAUGGCUCCUUUCCAUCAGCACCAUUGGGAGAACUUCAGUUCCUGUUUUUUAACUCAGUCACUCAGAAUUCCCAGCCUGACUAGAAUCAUGAGGUCUCUCUGCUUUCUCUUAGGCCUUCUCUUCUUGACUGCAAAAGCUGCAACUGAAAAAGAGGAAGAAUAUAGAGGAGUUAGUUUUCAGGAGGAAGAAAUGGAACCUGGAAGAGAAAUGAAGGAAGAACAGAGUGGGGAAGCUGUCCAAUUGCUGCUGAAUGAGAAUGGCCCUCAAGAUUUCCUUCUGGCCACAUUGGCUGAAGGGCAAAAUAGGAAGCUAAUCUUUAAACGCUGUUCCUGCAGAAAAAACUGUCCAACAGAAAUGAGAAGAGGUCGUUGCUCUGAGUCUUCCUCAAAACAUCUUUGUUGCUCUUCCUGAACUUCAGAGAGCAAUGAACAACAAAGAGAUUUCUGGCUUUUCUUGGGAAUCUACUGAUUGACUCACCACACUUCUGAGCCCUAUUCAUGCAAUUAAAAUAUCAUCCUUUGA